rnacentral:ncRNA from 1 species
ACUUUGUUGUUUAAUUAUGGCAAUAGAAAGCGUAGCUUUAUUAUCUGCAUAAAUUGUUUUUAUUGUUAUUACAAAUAGGAUGUAAUUGUAAUUAUUAGCAGUUAGUUUUUUAUUAGAAUGGGGGUUUUUUAAGAGUGAAGUUGAUGAAAGGGGAUAGGGCACAGUGCCAGCAUCUGCGGUUAUUCUGUUUUCUUUGCUUUUUUGUGAGUAUUUGAUUUUGUGCUUAUAACUAAAGGUAGGUGAAAUUUUUUUAGUGUUAUAUUGUACAUAAAAUUAGGAAGAAGAUAUUGUUAUGACAGGGAUUAGAUACCCCAUUAAUAAUUUAGUUUAAUUUGGCUUUGGUCUCAACUAAAAUAGUUUGGCAGCGAGCGAAUCCUAUUGGGGGAAGGUGUGAAUUAAAGGACGACCCGCCUAUUAUUUUACUUUUGUUAUGUUGGUGUAUAUCUGGUUUAAUAUUGAUGCCUAAUGGCUUAAUUUGUGUAAGUUAUUUAUUUAAGCUAAGUCUAUGUGCUGCUUACAAAAGUUUUCAUGCGUUACUUUUAUAAUAUUUAUUAUUUGAGAUUAAUGAAAAUUUAGGACUCAGAAGUAAUAUGUAAUAAAUUUGUACAUGUGAAGUUGGUUUAGCUUGGGUACACACCGCCCGUCAUCCUCGAUUAUCGUUGAGGCAAGUCGUAACAAGGUAACUUUAAAGGAAUUUGAAGUUAGUUUUGUGCUAAAUUGGUUUAGUUCA